rnacentral:rRNA from 1 species
ACUCAAAUGAAUUGACGGGGGCCCGCACAAGCAGCGGAGCGUGUGGUUUAAUUCGACGCAACGCGCAGAACCUUACCGAGGCUGGACAUGGCGGCGACGGCCGGUAAAAGCCGGCCUCCCCUCGGGGCGCCGUCACAGGUGUUGCAUGGCUGUCGUCAGCUCGUGCCGUGAGGUGUUGGGUUCAGUCCCGCAACGAGCGCAACCCCCGGUGCCAGUUAGGCUGUCUGGCGCGACCGCCGGGAGCAACCCGGAGGAAGGCGGGGAUGAUGUCAAGUCGGCACGGCCCUUACGCCUCGGGCGACACACACGCUACAAUGGCCGGGACAGCGGGUCGCCAACGCGCAAGCGGGAGCCAAUCCCUGCAAACCCGGUCCCAGUUCAGAUGGGGGGCUGCAACUCGCCCCCCUGAAGGCGGAGUUGCUAGUAACCGCCGGUCAGCACACGGCGGUGAAUAUGUUCCCGGGCCUUGCACACACCGCCCGU